GUAAUCGUGGAUCAGAAUGCCACGGUGAAUACGUUCCCGGGCCUUGUACACACCGCCCGUCACACCAUGGGAGUGGGCUGCAAAAGAAGUAGGUAGUUUAACCUUCGGGGGGACGCUUACCACUUUGUGGUUCAUGACUGGGGUGAAGUCGUAACAAGGUAGCGCUAGGGGAACCUGGCGCUGGAUCACCUCCUUAAACGAUGAU
rnacentral:rRNA from 2 species